rnacentral:rRNA from 1 species
GACGAACGCUGGCGGCGUGCCUAAUACAUGCAAGUAGAACGCUGAAGGAGGAGCUUGCUUCUCCGGAUGAGUUGCGAACGGGUGAGUAACGCGUAGGUAACCUGCCUGGUAGCGGGGGAUAACUAUUGGAAACGAUAGCUAAUACCGCAUAAGAGUAGAUGUUGCAUGACAUUUGCUUAAAAGGUGCAAUUGCAUCACUACCAGAUGGACCUGCGUUGUAUUAGCUAGUUGGUGAGGUAACGGCUCACCAAGGCGACGAUACAUAGCCGACCUGAGAGGGGGGUCGGCCACCCUGGGACUGAGACACGGCCCAGACUCCUACGGGAGGCAGCCGUAGGGCAUCUUCGGCAAUGGACGGAAGUCUGACCGAGCAACGCCGCGUGAGUGAAGAAGGUUUUCGGAUCGUAAAGCUCUGUUGUAAGAGAAGAACGAGUGUGAGAGUGGAAAGUUCACACUGUGACGGUAUCUUACCAGAAAGGGACGGCUAACUACGUG